GACGGAGGAUGCAAGCGUUAUCCGGAAUGAUUGGGCGUAAAGCGUCCGCAGGUGGCAGUUCAAGUCUGCUGUCAAAGACCGGGGCUUAACUUCGGAAAGGCAGUGGAAACUGAACAGCUAGAGUAUGGUAGGGGCAGAGGGAAUUCCUGGUGUAGCGGUGAAAUGCGUAGAGAUCAGGAAGAACAUCGGUGGCGAAGGCGCUCUGCUGGGCCGACACUGACACUGAGAGACGAAAGCUAGGGGAGCGAAUGGG
rnacentral:rRNA from 1 species